AAAAUCUAUAUGAAAAAAUUAUAUAUAUAAAUAAAUUUUUAUGAUUUGUGAAAUUUAAUUUAAAUUUAUUUUACAUGUAAAUUUUAGUGUUAAUUUUUAAUUAUUUUAAUAAUAAUUAUUAAUAUUUGCAGUAAUUAAAAUUAAAAAUUUAAGGAAUUAAGAUUUAGUAAUAUUUAAUUUUAUUAACAAAUUUUGUGCCAGCAGUUGCGGUUAUACAAAAAAUAAUUUAAAUUUUAUCAGUGUAUAAUAAAUAAGAAUUAUUAUUAAAUUAAAUAUUAAAUUAUUAAGUGAAAUUUUAAUUUAAUUAAAAUUUAUAUUAAUUUUAUGAUUUAUUAAAUUUUAUAAAAAACUAGGAUUAGAUACCCUAUUAUUGAAAAUUAAAUUUAUAAUACUAAAAUAGUAGAUAAUAAUUUAUUGAAACUUAAAUAAUUUGGCGGUAUUUUAGUUCAUUUAGAGGAAUCUGUUUAAUAAUUGAUAAUCCACGAAUAAAUUUACUUAAUUUAUCAUUUUGUAUAUCGUUGUUAAAAAAAUAUUUUUUAAUAAAAAUAAUAUUUUAAAAUUUUUAUAUAAAAUUAAUUCAGAUCAAGAUGCAGAUUAUAAUUAAGAAUAUAAUGGGUUACAAUAAAUAAAUUUAAAUGAAUAAUAUUUUUUAAUAAAUAUUUGAAGGUGGAUUUAAAUGUAAUUUUAAUUAGUUUAUUAAAAUGAUUAUAUAUUAAAAUAUGUACAUAUUGCCCGUCGCUUUCAUUAAUAAAUUGGAAUAAGUCGUAACAAAGUAGAGGUACUGGAAAGUGUUUCUAGAAAGAA
rnacentral:ncRNA from 1 species